CAUCUAUGUGGCAAAAUAGUGAGAAGAUUUGUAAGUAGAGGUGACAUGCCUAACGAGCCUGGUGAUAGCUGGUUGUCCAGAAAAUGAAUCUAAGUUCAGCUUUAAAGAUACCAAAAAUUCAAAUAAACCCCACUGUAGCUUUAAAAGUUAGUCUAAAAAGGUACAGCCUUUUAGAAACGGAUACAACCUUGACUAGAGAGUAAAAUUUAACACUACCAUAGUAGGCCUAAAAGCAGCCAUCAAUUAAGAAAGCGUUAAAGCUCAACAACAAAAAUUAAAUAGAUUCCAACAACAAAUGAUUAACUCCUAGCCCCAAUACUGGACUAAUCUAUUAUAGAAUAGAAGCAAUAAUGUUAAUAUGAGUAACAAGAAAAAUUUUCUCCUUGCAUAAGUCUAAGUCAGUGCCUGAUAAUACUCUGACCACUAACAGUCAAUAAAAAUAAUCCAACAAUAAACAAUUUAUUGAUUAUACUGUUAACCCAACACAUGGAGUGCAUCUAAGGAAAGA
rnacentral:rRNA from 1 species